rnacentral:rRNA from 1 species
CCUACGGGCGGCAGCAGUGAGGAAUAUUGGUCAAUGGACGAGAGUCUGAACCAGCCAAGUAGCGUGAAGGAUGACUGCUCUAUGGGUUGUAAACUUCUUUUAUAUGGGAAUAAAAUGUUCCACGUGUGGGAUUUUGUAUGUACCAUAUGAAUAAGGAUCGGCUAACUCCGUGCCAGCAGCCGUGGUAAUACGGAGGAUCCGAGCGUUAUCCGGAUUUAUUGGGUUUAAAGGGAGCGUAGGUGGUUUGUUGAGUCAGUUGUGAAAGUUUGCGGCUCAACCGUAGAAUUGCAGUUGAAACUGGCAGUCUUGAGUACAGUAGAGGUGGGCGGAAUUCGUGGUGUAGCGGUGAAAUGCUUAGAUAUCACGAAGAACUCCGAUUGCGAAGGCAGUUCACUGGACUGCAACUGACACUGAGGCUCGAAAGUGUGGGUAUCAAACAGGAUUAGAUACCCGGGUAGUC